rnacentral:rRNA from 1 species
GGAUGAGUAACACGUGGGUAACCUGCCCAUAAGACUGGGAUAACUCCGGGAAACCGGGGCUAAUACCGGAUAACAUUUUGAACCGCAUGGUUCGAAAUUGAAAGGCGGCUUCGGGUGUCACUUAUGGAUGGACCCGCGUCGCAUUAGCUGGUUGGUGAGGUAACGGCUCACCAAUGGAACGAUGCGACGCCGACCUGACAGGGUGAUCAGCCACACUGGGACUGAUACACGGCCCAGACUCCUACGGGAGGCAACAAUGGGGAAUCUUCCGCAAUGGACGAAAGUCUGACGGAUUUCGCCCCGUGAAUGAUGAAGGCUUUCGGGUCGUAAAACUCUGUUGUUUUCUAAGAACAAGUGCUAGUUGAAUAACUGGCACCUUGACGGUACCUAACCACAAAGCCACGGCUAACUACAUGCCAACAUCCGCGGUAAUACGUAGGUGGCAAGCGUUAUCCGGAAUUAUUGGGCUUAAAGCGCGCGCAGGUGGUUUCUUAGAUCUGAUGUGAAAGCCCACGGCUCAGCCGUGAAGGGUCUUUGGAAACUGGAAGACUUGAGUGCAGAAGAGGAUAGUGGAAUUCCAUGUGUACCGAUGAAAUGCAUAGAGAUAUGGAGGAACACCUGUGGCCA